CCUACAGAUCGAGCGAGAGAGGGUGUGAGAGGGGGUUGCAGUUCGGAGGCGAGAGGGCGUGAGAGGGGUUGCCGGGUCGGAGGCGAGAGGGCGUGAGAGGGGGUGCCGGGUCGACGGGCCUGGAUAGGGGGAGCGAAGGAGCGAGGAGAGAGAGGCGAGGAAUGGAGGAAGGGGUUCGAGGAGUUGGGAGAUGGAGAGGAGAGAGAGAGAGAGAGAGAGAGAAAGAGAGUGCAGGAAAUGUUGAGAUCGAGGGUU
rnacentral:lncRNA from 1 species